GAGGGGGAGCGAACGGCUGCAUGGUGUUUAGCUGCUGGCCGGGUAACCACGACAGAAGGCAAAGAACACCCUUUGGAAAUAGUUUUGAGAAGAGAAGCCCCUCCCUAAAGCAGUAACAGAGAAGAGUAAAUAGGGAGAAGUGGAAGGAAAGAAGAGGCAACUGAAUUUUUCAACAAUUUUACAUCAACUUUGUGCAUUGCUCUCAUGAGACACUUUUGAAGUAUGUCAAGUGAAACCAGGCUGAAAUUCCCAAACCUAUUCUCUUUCCUUGGGUACAGUAUUGGAUGUGGAACUUAGCUCUAGAUCCAUUCUCAGUUUGAAUGGAGUCAUUCUGGUUCCUUAUAUUCUCCAGGACAGCUGAACUAUGAAGAGAAGGGCUACUGUUCAAUGUGGAACUGACAAAGGCAAGAGAAGGAAAACAAAACUGCUCCAGAUGGCCUGUCAGAGCUGCAGACAAAAUACAUGGAGAUGCUUAUAAAAUUAAAUUAAGAAAGAACUGACUGCAUCUACAAUAAUAGGAAAAACAACUUUGCCUAUUGCAGUACAGCAGCCUUACAAUAAGAAGCUUCAAUACGCAAAUUGCAACUCAAGAGCCAGGUGUGUGUUUAUGAGCUCUGGGCCCUUGAAAGAUGAUAAAUUCGCCAUGGGAAAUAAAGAUAACUAGCUUUGGAGAAAGUUUGCUUUUAUCUUCUAGCACUCAGACACAAGUAGCACCAAACAUUCACUUCUCCCUCCCUCCUCCUCUCAGCUCCCCUGGCAAUUCAUCAGCCAUUAUGGACCAUUUCAACACUUUACUGGGUUGGGUCUUGGCUUGUGCUCGAGUGAGUGUCCCUGCACACACGGGCGCUCUGCAGGAGCACCUGCCCUAGCAGCCAUUUCCAGUACUCUACAAGUUGGCAAAGAUCUUCCAGCAGAUAACAAGCACUGAUGAAAAUAUUUCUCCUGUUCCCUCAGUGAAAGAAAGAUGGUCUCCCACUCCGUGUAUGACAUGAAUAAAGGUUUGGGGAAAAUGAA